rnacentral:rRNA from 1 species
AUCUCUGUAGAGUCUGCAUAUCAAUAAGCGGAGGAAAAGAAACUAACAUAGGAUUCCCUUAGUAACGGCGAGUGAAGCGGGAAGAGCUCAAAUUUGAAAUCUUCAAGGUUCUACCUUGACGAAUUGUAGUUUAAAGAAGUGUUUUCUGUUGAAGUUUUGGUAAAAGUUCUUUGGAAUAGGACAUCAUAGAGGGUGAGAAUCCCGUAUUUGACCGUUACUUUCCAGCUGUGUGAUACACUUUCAAAGAGUCGGAUUGUUUGGGAAUGCAGUCCAAAAUGGGUGGUAAAUUUCAUCUAAAGCUAAAUAUUGGCGAGAGACCGAUAGCGAACAAGUACCGUGAGGGAAAGAUGAAAAGAACUUUGAAAAGAGAGUUAAACAGUACGUGAAAUUGUCAAAAGGGAAGCGUUUGACACCAGUGUUGUUUAGUUCGAAAAUCAAUUAAAAUAGGUUUCGAUUUUAGUAGUAUUGACCUUAAUCAGCUUGUUCACUUUCUUCUCGUAUUAUUUAAUGCACUUUUCAGUUAACAAGUCAACAUCAGUUUCUUUUGUUGUAAAAAGGUAAUAGGAAGGUGGCUUUCUCUUCGGCGCAAGUGUUUAUAGCCUUUGUACUUCUGCAAUCGGAGAGAUUGAGGUCUGCAGCGUAGAUCCUUCGGGAUUAGAUACAUUUGUGCUAAGCUAUAGCCUUGUAUAGACAACUUGUUGACUAUGCUCUAGUCAUGUAACUUACUCGCUUAUGCUAUUUUACCUACGCUUAGGAUGUUGAACGCGCACAGAGUCUC